rnacentral:rRNA from 1 species
UGCGAGCGUUGUCCGGAAUUACUGGGCGUAAAGAGCUCGUAGGUGGUUUGUCGCGUCGUCUGUGAAAUUCCGGGGCUUAACUCCGGGCGUGCAGGCGAUACGGGCUGACUUGAGUGCUGUAGGGGAGACUGGAAUUCCUGGUGUAGCGGUGAAAUGCGCAGAUAUCAGGAGGAACACCGAUGGCGAAGGCAGGUCUCUGGGCAGUAACUGACGCUGAGGAGCGAAAGCAUGGGUAGCGAACAGGAUUAGAUACCCUGGUAGUCCAUGCCGUAAACGGUGGGCGCUAGGUGUAGGGGGCUUCCACGUCUUCUGUGCCGUAGCUAACGCAUUAAGCGCCCCGCCUGGGGAGUACGGCCGCAAGGCUAAAACUCAAAGGAAUUGACGGGGGCCCGCACAAGCGGCGGAGCAUGUGGAUUAAUUCGAUGCAACGCGAAGAACCUUACCUGGGCUUGACAUAUAGCGGAUCGCUGCAGAGAUGUAGUUUCCCUUUGUGGUCGUUAUACAGGUGGUGCAUGGUUGUCGUCAGCUCGUGUCGUGAGAUGU